GUCCUUCUAAUGCUCUGUGGGAUCCCAGCCUUCUGAAGCUGAAUCAGAAUCCAAAACCCAGCAACAUUCCAGGGAAAAUUGCCCUUGGACUUGGACUACAACUAUACCAUCAGCUCUCUUGGGUCUCCAGAUUGCCAACUACAGCAUCCAUAAUUGUCACUAUUCACAAUAGUAAAGACCUGGAAUCAAUCUAGCUGCCCAUCAGUGCUGGAUUGGAUAAAGGAAAUACGGUACAUAUACAUCAUGGAAUACUAUGCAACCAUUCAAAAAAAACAAAAUCAUGUCCUUUGUAGCAACAUGGAUAAAGCUGGAGGUUAUUAUCCUAAGCGAACUAACAAAGGAACAGAAA